UACGGGGGGGGCAAGCGUUGUUCGGAAUUACUGGGCGUAAAGGGCUCGUAGGUGGCCAACUAAGUCAGACGUGAAAUCCCCAGGCUCAACUUGGGAACUGCGUCUGAUACUGGAUGGCUUGAAUUCGGGAGAGGGAUGCAGAAUUCCAGGUGUAGCGGUGAAAUGCGCAGAUAUCAGGAGGAACACCGGUGGCGAAGGCGGUUCUCUGGGCAUUACCUGACGCUGAGGAGCGAAAGUGUGGGGAGCGAACAGG
rnacentral:rRNA from 1 species